UACGGAGGGUGCGAGCGUUGUUCGGAAUCACUGGGCGUAAAGCACGUGUAGGCGGCCUCCCAAGUCUGAUGUGAAAGCCCGGGGCUCACCCCCGGAAGUGCAUUGGAAACUGUGAGGCUCGAGUCCCGGAGAGGAGGGUGGAAUUCCUGGUGUAGCAGUGAAAUGCGCAGAUAUCAGGAGGAACACCGGUGGCGAAGGCGGUUCUCUGGGCCUGUUCUGACGCUGAGGAGCGAAAGCGUGGGGAGCGAAC
rnacentral:rRNA from 1 species